AGUGAACGCUGGCGGUAGGCCUAACACAUGCAAGUCGAACGGCAGCACCGUAAGAGCUUGCUCUUACGGGUGGCGAGUGGCGGACGGGUGAGGAAUACAUCGGAAUCUACUUUUUCGUGGGGGAUAACGUAGGGAAACCUACGCUAAUACAGCAUACGACCUACGGGUGAAAGCAGGGGAUCUUCGGACCUUGCGCGAUUGAAUGAGCCGAUGUCGGAUUAGCUAGUUGGGGGGGUAAAGGCCCACCAAGGCGACGAUCCGUAGCUGGUGUGAGAGGAUGAUCGGCCACACUGGAACUGAGACACGGUCCAGACUCCUACGGGAGGCAGCAGUGGGGAAUAUGGGACAAUGGGCGCAAGCCUGAUCCAGCCAUACCGCGUGGGUGAAGAAGGCCUUCGGGUUGUAAAGCCGUUUUGUUGGGAAAGAAAAGCAGCAGGUUAAUACCCCGCUGUUCUGACGGUACCCAAAGAAUAAGCACCGGCUAACUUCGUG
rnacentral:rRNA from 1 species